ACUGAGCUGACACUAGGGGCCCCAGAGAGGGUCUGGGGGGGAGGGGGCGAGUGGAUGUGACCCCCACACAAAGGGGGG
rfam:Canis lupus familiaris cont3.703, whole genome shotgun sequence.